GACGAACGCUGGCGGCGUGCUUAACACAUGCCAGUCGAACGGAAAGGCCCUGCUUGCAGGGUACUCGAGUGGCGAACGGGUGAGUAACACGUGGGUUAUCUGCCCUGCACUUCGGGAUAAGCCUGGGAAACUGGGUCUAAUACCGGAUAGGAGCCAUUUUUAGUGUGAUGGUUGGAAAGUUUUUUCGGUGUAGGAUGAGCUCGCGGCCUAUCAGCUUGUUGGUGGGGUAAUGGCCUACCAAGGCGGCGACGGGUAGCCGGCCUGAGAGGGUGGACAGCCACAUUGGGACUGAGAUACGGCCCAGACUCCUACGGGAGGCAGCAGUGGGGAAUAUUGCACAAUGGGCGCAGGCCUGAUGCAGCGACGCCGCGUGGGGGAUGACGGCCUUCGGGUUGUAAACUCCUUUCGCUAGGGACGAAGCUUUUUGUGACGGUACCUAGAUAAGAAGCACCGGCUAACUACGUG
rnacentral:rRNA from 1 species